AGUGAACGCUGGCGGUAGGCCUAACACAUGCAAGUCGAACGGCAGCACAGUAAGAGCUUGCUCUUACGGGUGGCGAGUGGCGGACGGGUGAGGAAUACAUCGGAAUCUACUUUUUCGUGGGGGAUAACGUAGGGAAACUUACGCUAAUACCGCAUACGACCUACGGGUGAAAGCAGGGGAUCUUCGGACCUUGCGCGAUUGAAUGAGCCGAUGUCGGAUUAGCUAGUUGGCGGGGUAAAGGCCCACCAAGGCGACGAUCCGUAGCUGGUCUGAGAGGAUGAUCAGCCACACUGGAACUGAGACACGGCCCAGACUCCUACGGGAGGCAGCAGUGGGGAAUAUUGGACAAAGGGGGCAAGCCUGAUCCAGCCAUACCGCGUGGGUGAAGAAGGCCUUCUGGUUGUAAAGCCCUGUUGUUGGGAAAGAAAAGCAGCAGGUUAAUACCCCGCUGUUCUGACGGUACCCAAAGAAUAAGCACCGGCUAACUUCGUG
rnacentral:rRNA from 1 species